rnacentral:lncRNA from 1 species
AGAGCACAUUUUAAAUUAUAUGUAUUAUAGGUAUAUAUACACAUAAGAGUGUGUGUGUGGGGGGGGGUCAUAUGACAUAUAGGUUUCCAAACAUAUAAGUUUGUAAAAUUAUACUUAAAUAUUCUUAGAGAAAGAUACAGCCAUUUGUUAAGUAGAAUUAUAAAAUGUUUUAAAUCUUUCCUAUUUAAAAAGCAAAUGUCAGUAGUCUGCUAUUGUAAAAGGCACUGUGAUGCUCUGAAAAUGGUAUGGACUUCGAGAUUAAGUAAACUUGAGGCCAUACCCUCUCCAGCUUCCUAAAUCUGUCAGUCUAGCCUCAGUCACAUUACCUGACUUGUCUCCCCACCCCUCCUCUUUUCUUCCCUCUUCUCUUGCAAAUAUUUUUUUAAAGAGAAAAUGAGAUAAGGUUUAUAAAAAUGUCUAGCACAUAAAAGCCACUAAUAUAUGAACAUAUGCAGGGGCACCUCGGUAGCUCAGUUGGUAAAGAGUUAGACUCUUGGUUUCAGCUCAGGUAUGAUCUCAGGGUCAUGAGAUAGAGCCCUGUAUCAGACUCUAUGCUCAGCACAGAGUCUACUUAAGAUUCUCUCCUUCUGUUCCCACCUUACCACACAUGCAAUCUCAUGUGCUCUCUCUUUCUCUCUCAAAUAAAAUAAAAUAAAAUAAAUAUAUAUAUAUAUAUAUGAACAUAUACAGUGGAAUGUUUAUAAAAAUUGUAAUUGGGACUGCUUUUCUCUCCAGGGCCUCAGAUAAAGCUAGAAGUGACUGAGAAGGCACGAAAGCAGAGCAUAGCUUUGGAUGGACUCAUGAAUGAGAGGAAGAGGAGGAAAAGAAGUUGGAAAUAACGUUAUUAUUCAGUUCCACGAACUGGGCUUCUUGGAAUCCAAUGCUGGAAAAGACCUUAAAAAUAAUCAAGUCCCACUUCAUAGUGAGAACACAGAGGUUCAGGAUUACACAGUGAGUGGCAGAGCCACUUAGAAAUAUCUAGCUAGAAUCCAUCACAUUGUGUAAAGACAAUAAAUUAAAGAACUUUAAACACAACUCUAUCUUUGGAAUUGAGGUAGGUGAUUAAAGACAAGAAUUUCCUAACUUAUUCUAUUUUAAAAUUUUAAUUACUUUAUUUCACUUUCAGGCUCUAAAUAUUUACUGAUUAAUUAGGAUAGAAUAGGCUACUGGCUGAAUCCAGAAUAUUUACAAUAGGGAAGAUAUUUUAGGACAGCUAUUUAGGCAUCAUUUAGGCACACUGAAAGCAAACACCAAGCGUAAAAAUACUCUCUGCAGGAUAGGAAUCCCUGGCACCCAUCCUGUCCUGGAGCCAUACUUCCCCUCUGAGACUCUAGCAGGUG